UUUGACACGACAUUGCUCACAUUGCUUCCAGUGUAAUUUAUAGCUUUCUGGUCAGGCCGUGGUACU
rnacentral:antisense_RNA from 1 species